rnacentral:lncRNA from 1 species
CCAGAAUGUUUAUUUCAGAUUUUCUGGCCUGAUGGCUGCAGCAUCUGAUCUGAAGGUGCAACUGUGGACCACAUUUCCCAAAGGCCUAAGAGAUCAGAGUUCUGAAGCCAAGGUGUACUUACAGAGGUGGGACAAAGGAAGUCAAUCUGAUUAAUUGUAUUCUCCUGGAGAGCCAUCACUAAAAGUGCAGAUGCAUUUGACUCUCACCUGGAGACAAGUCAUUCUACACCUAAACAAAGGAACAAAAUUGAAUAAAAGAAACACCUAGAUUCA